CGGUAAUUCCAGCUCCAAUAGCGUAUACUAAAGUUGUUGCAGUUAAAAAGCUCGUAGUUGGAUUUCUGCGGGGACGGAGCGGCCGGACGCAACUUGCGUCUCGAGCUAGCGCUUUCCCCGCAUCCUGCCGCGAACCGUGCUACCAUUAGUUUGGUGGCGCUGGGGAUCGGCUCGAUUACUUUGAGAAAAAUAGAGUGUUCAAAGCAGGCCACACGCCUUGAAUAAGUUAGCAUGGAAUAAUGACUAAGGACUUCGGUUCUAUUUUGUUGGUGUUCGGGACUGAAGUAAUGAUUGAUAGGGACAGUUGGGGCGGUCUGUAUUCCAAAGCGAGAGGUGAAAUUCUUAGACCUUCGGAAGACAAACAUCUGCGAAAGCGUUCCGCAAGGAUGUUCCCUUUGAUCAAGAACGAAAGUUGGGGGAUCGAAGACGAUCAGAUACCGUCGUAGUCUCAACUAUAAACUAUACCAGCUAGGGAUCGGUCAACGUUUAAUUAUUCGACUUGAUCGGCACCUUAUGAGAAAUCAAAGCAUCUGGGUUCCGGGGGGAGUAUGGUCGCAAGGCUGAAACUUAAAGGAAUUGACGGAAGGGCACCACCAGCCGUGGAGCCUGUGGCUUAAUUUGACCCAACACGGGAAAACUUACCAGGUCCAGACAUAGUAAGGAUUAACAGAUUGAUAGCUCUUUCUUGAUUCUGUGGGUGGUGGUGCAUGGCCGUUCUUAGUUGGUGGAGUGAUUUGUCUGGUUAAUUCCGUUAACGAACGAGACCCCAGCCUGCUAAAUAGCGCGGCUGAGCUUUGCUCGGUGCGAGCUUCUUAGAGGGACUAUGAUGCGCGAUAGCACAUGGAAGUUUGGGGCAAUAACAGGUCUGUGAUGCCUUUAGAUGUUCUGGGCCGCACACGGGCUACACUGGCGCCUGCAACGAGCACAUCAGCUGGCCCGAGAGGGUCUUGGCUAAUCUUUUGAACCGGCGCCGUGCUUGGGAUUGACCUUUGCAAUUGUUGGUCAUGCAACGAGGAAUGCCUUGUAAACGCGAGUCAUCAGCUCGCAUUGAAUACGUCCCUGCCCUUUGUACACACCGCCCGUCGCUCCUACCGAUGAAUGUUCCGAUGAAAUUUUCGGAGAGCGCCAGAGAACGGGGCUCUGCCUUGCAGAUCUGGAGGCUCAAAGUCACUUAAAUCUGAACAUUUCGAGGAAGGAGAAGUCGUAACAAGGUAGCCG
rnacentral:rRNA from 1 species